rnacentral:sRNA from 1 species
CAAUAGCCCCGAUAGGAGUGGAAAUCCUUUUGUCAGCCGGGGUUCGGCGCAAAAGAUUGAAACGAACAGCGGGAUUAAGC